rnacentral:rRNA from 1 species
UAGGGAAUCUUCGGCAAUGGACGAAAGUCUGACCGAGCAACGCCGCGUGAGUGAAGAAGGUUUUCGGAUCGUAAAACUCUGUUGUUAGAGAAGAACAAGGACGUUAGUAACUGAACGUCCCCUGACGGUAUCUCACCAGAAAGCCACGGCUAACUACGUGCCAGCAGCCGCGGUAAUACGUAGGUGGCAAGCGUUGUCCGGAUUUAUUGGGCGUAAAGCGAGCGCAGGCGGUUUCUUAAGUCUGAUGUGAAAGCCCCCGGCUCAACCGGGGAGGGUCAUUGGAAACUGGGAGACUUGAGUGCAGAAGAGGAGAGUGGAAUUCCAUGUGUAGCGGUGAAAUGCGUAGAUAUAUGGAGGAACACCAGUGGCGAAGGCGGCUCUCUGGUCUGUAACUGACGCUGAGGCUCGAAAGCGUGGGGAGCAAACAGG